rnacentral:rRNA from 1 species
UGGGGAAUAUUGGACAAUGGGCGCAAGCCUGAUCCAGCAAUGCCGCGUGUGUGAAGAAGGCCUGCGGGUUGUAAAGCACUUUCAGUAGAGAAGAAAAGCUUAGGGUUAAUACCCCUUGAGUCUUGACGUUACCUACAGAAGAAGCACCGGCUAACUCCGUGCCAGCAGCCGCGGUAAUACGGAGGGUGCAAGCGUUAAUCGGAAUUACUGGGCGUAAAGCGCGCGUAGGCGGCUUAGUAAGUCGGAUGUGAAAGCCCUGGGCUCAACCUGGGAAUUGCAUUCGAUACUGCUGAGCUAGAGUAUGGUAGAGGGAAUUUCCAGUGUAGCGGUGAAAUGCGUAGAGAUUGGAAAGAACACCAGUGGCGAAGGCGCUCUACUGGACCUGUACUGACACUAAGGGACGAAAGCUAGGGGAGCGAAAGGGAUUAGAUACCCGGGUAGUCC